AUUCUGUAGCAAGGUUAACCGUAUAGGGGAGCCGGAGGGAAACCGAGUCUUAACCGGGCGUUAAGUUGCAGGGUAUAGACCCGAAACCCGGUGAUCUAGCCAUGGGCAGGUUGAAGGUUGGGUAACACUAACUGGAGGACCGAACCGACUAAUGUUGAAAAAUUAGCGGAUGACCUGUGGCUGGGGGUGAAAGGCCAAUCAAACCGGGAGAUAGCUGGUUCUCCCCGAAAGCUAUUUAGGUAGCGCCUCGUGAAUUCAUCUCCGGGGGUAGAGCACUGUUUCGGCUAGGGGGCCAUCCCGGCUUACCAACCCGAUGCAAACUGCGAAUACCGGAGAAUGUUAUCACGGGAGACACACGGCGGGUGCUAACGUCCGUCGUGAAGAGGGAAACAACCCAGACCGCCAGCUAAGGUCCCAAAGUCAUGGUUAAGUGGGAAACGAUGUGGGAAGGCCCAGACAGCCAGGAUGUUGGCUUAGAAGCAGCCAUCAUUUAAAGAAAGCGUAAUAGCUCACUGGUCGAGUCGGCCUGCGCGGAAGAUGUAACGGGGCUAAACCAUGCACCGAAGCUGCGGCAGCGACGCUGAUGCGUUGUUGGGUAGGGGAGCGUUCUGUAAGCCUGCGAAGGUGGCCUGUGAGGGUUGCUGGAGGUAUCAGAAGUGCGAAUGCUGACAUAAGUAACGAUAAAGCGGGUGAAAAGCCCGCUCGCCGGAAGACCAAGGGUUCCUGUCCAACGUUAAUCGGGGCAGGGUGAGUCGACCCCUAAGGCGAGGCCGAAAGGCGUAGUCGAUGGGAAACGGGUUAAUAUUCCCGUACUUGGUGUUACUGCGAAGGGGGGACGGAGAAGGCUAUGUUGGCCGGGCGACGGUUGUCCCGGUUUAAGCGUGUAGGUGUGUGUUCCAGGUAAAUCCGGUUCACUUUAACACUGAGGCGUGAUGACGAGGCACUACGGUGCUGAAGCAACAAAUGCCCUGCUUCCAGGAAAAGCCUCUAAGCAUCAGGUAACAUCAAAUCGUACCCCAAACCGACACAGGUGGUCAGGUAGAGAAUACCAAGGCGCUUGAGAGAACUCGGGUGAAGGAACUAGGCAAAAUGGUGCCGUAACUUCGGGAGAAGGCACGCUGACACGUAGGUGAAGUGAUUUACUCAUGGAGCUGAAGUCAGUCGAAGAUACCAGCUGGCUGCAACUGUUUAUUAAAAACACAGCACUGUGCAAACACGAAAGUGGACGUAUACGGUGUGACGCCUGCCCGGUGCCGGAAGGUUAAUUGAUGGGGUCAGCGCAAGCGAAGCUCCUGAUCGAAGCCCCGGUAAACGGCGGCCGUAACUAUAACGGUCCUAAGGUAGCGAAAUUCCUUGUCGGGUAAGUUCCGACCUGCACGAAUGGCGUAAUGAUGGCCAGGCUGUCUCCACCCGAGACUCAGUGAAAUUGAACUCGCUGUGAAGAUGCAGUGUACCCGCGGCAAGACGGAAAGACCCCGUGAACCUUUACUAUAGCUUGACACUGAACAUUGAGCCUUGAUGUGUAGGAUAGGUGGGAGGCUUUGAAGUGUGGACGCCAGUCUGCAUGGAGCCGACCUUGAAAUACCACCCUUUAAUGUUUGAUGUUCUAACGUGGACCCGUGAUCCGGGUUGCGGACAGUGUCUGGUGGGUAGUUUGACUGGGGCGGUCUCCUCCUAAAGAGUAACGGAGGAGCACGAAGGUUGGCUAAUCCUGGUCGGACAUCAGGAGGUUAGUGCAAUGGCAUAAGCCAGCUUGACUGCGAGCGUGACGGCGCGAGCAGGUGCGAAAGCAGGUCAUAGUGAUCCGGUGGUUCUGAAUGGAAGGGCCAUCGCUCAACGGAUAAAAGGUACUCCGGGGAUAACAGGCUGAUACCGCCCAAGAGUUCAUAUCGACGGCGGUGUUUGGCACCUCGAUGUCGGCUCAUCACAUCCUGGGGCUGAAGUAGGUCCCAAGGGUAUGGCUGUUCGCCAUUUAAAGUGGUACGCGAGCUGGGUUUAGAACGUCGUGAGACAGUUCGGUCCCUAUCUGCCGUGGGCGCUGGAGAACUGAGGGGGGCUGCUCCUAGUACGAGAGGACCGGAGUGGACGCAUCACUGGUGUUCGGGUUGUCAUGCCAAUGGCACUGCCCGGUAGCUAAAUGCGGAAGAGAUAAGUGCUGAAAGCAUCUAAGCACGAAACUUGCCCCGAGAUGAGUUCUCCCUGAGACUUUAGGUCUCCUGAAGGAACGUUGAAGACGACGACGUUGAUAGGCCGGGUGUGUAAGCGCAGCGAUGCGUUGAGCUAACCGGUACUAAUGAACCGUGAGGCUUAACCUUACA
rnacentral:rRNA from 1 species